GAUGAACGCUGGCGGCGUGCUUAACACAUGCAAGUCGAACGAUGAAGCCCAGCUUGCUGGGUGGAUUAGUGGCGAACGGGUGAGUAACACGUGAGUAACCUGCCCUUAACUCUGGGAUAAGCCUGGGAAACUGGGUCUAAUACCGGAUAGGAGCGUCCACCGCAUGGUGGGUGUUGGAAAGAUUUAUCGGUUUUGGAUGGACUCGCGGCCUAUCAGCUUGUUGGUGAGGUAAUGGCUCACCAAGGCGACGACGGGUAGCCGGCCUGAGAGGGUGACCGGCCACAAUGCGACUAAGACACGGCCCAGAAUCCUACGGGAGGCAGCAGUGGGGAAUAUUGCACAAUGGGCGCAAGCCUGAUGCAGAGACGCCGCGUGAGGGAUGACGGCCUUCGGGUUGUAAACCUCUUUCAGUAGGGAAGAAGCGAAAGUGACGGUACCUGCAGAAGAAGCACCGGCUAACUACGUG
rnacentral:rRNA from 1 species